AGAGCGAACGCUGGCGGCAGGCUUAACACAUGCAAGUCGAGCGGGCGUAGCAAUACGUCAGCGGCAGACGGGUGAGUAACGCGUGGGAACAUACCUUUUGGUUCGGAACAACCCAGGGAAACUUGGGCUAAUACCGGAUAAGCCCUUACGGGGAAAGAUUUAUCGCCAAAAGAUUGGCCCGCGUCUGAUUAGCUAGUUGGUGAGGUAACGGCUCACCAAGGCGACGAUCAGUAGCUGGUCUGAGAGGAUGAUCAGCCACAUUGGGACUGAGACACGGCCCAAACUCCUACGGGAGGCAGCAGUGGGGAAUAUUGGACAAUGGGCGCAAGCCUGAUCCAGCCAUGCCGCGUGAGUGAUGAAGGCCCUAGGGUUGUAAAGCUCUUUUGUGCGGGAAGAUAAUGACGGUACCGCAAGAAUAAGCCCCGGCUAACUUCGCGCCAGCAGCCGC
rnacentral:rRNA from 1 species